rnacentral:rRNA from 1 species
GAUGAACGCUGGCGGCGUGCCUAAUACAUGCAAGUCGAGCGAACAGACGAGGAGCUUGCUCCUCUGACGUUAGCGGCGGACGGGUGAGUAACACGUGGAUAACCUACCUAUAAGACUGGGAUAACUUCGGGAAACCGGAGCUAAUACCGGAUAAUAUAUUGAACCGCAUGGUUCAAUAGUGAAAGACGGUUUUGCUGUCACUUAUAGAUGGAUCCGCGCCGCAUUAGCUAGUUGGUAAGGUAACGGCUUACCAAGGCAACGAUGCGUAGCCGACCUGAGAGGGUGAUCGGCCACACUGGAACUGAGACACGGUCCAGACUCCUACGGGAGGAAGCAGUAGGGAAUCUUCCGCAAUGGGCGAAAGCUUGACGGAGCAACGCCGCGUGAGUGAUGAAGGUCUGCGGAUCGUAAAACUCUGUUAUUAGGGAAGAACAAAUGUGUAAGUAACUAUGCACGUCUUGACGGUACCUAAUCAGAAAGCCACGGCUAACUACGUG